UAGCAUCAUGGAAGUCACUGUUCC
rnacentral:piRNA from 1 species